GGCUGGAUCAGACACUUUGAGGUUUCUCUCCACACCAGUCCCCCUAUAGGUUAGCAGAGGAUUGGAGGAAUCUUUUAGAGGCCAGACUGCUGAGAGUUUCCUGCCAUGGGGCCGGCCCUGAGCAGAGCUGACUGGCCAUCUUGGAAGUUGGAACUCCAGGGUGGAAGAGUGGUUGGUAGGCAGCUCUCACUGGCCUUGGGGGGACUCCUUCCUUUCCCUCUGCUCCUGCCGACCAGAACUUCCCACUUCAAGAAGACUUUUUGGGAAGAGGAAAAGUAGCAUCUGUGAUUUCGAGACACCUCUGCCAGCAUCUGGAUGGGAUUCAGAAUUGGGAAGGCAAAGUAAUCAUACCGAUAAAAAGAGGGAGGAUUUUGGACCUCCGUGAAGAUACUGAAGUGGGGGGGGGGGCAGGGAGAGAGGGUGUUUAUCUGCUUGCCUGGCUGGCACCGUAGCUGUCAUCGUUUCCUUACAUCUUCACCACGACAAGACUGUGUCAUUCGAGCCAUCUUGAGAAGGAGAAGAUGAAAGCUGGGAGGCCGUGAACAUCUCGCCCAGAUUUAUGUUGCUGCAAAAAGAAUUGAAAUUGGGAGGCAGAUUGCAUCCAAAGCUGGAAUAUUUCCAUGUGCUCUUCCCUACACCAUCCUAAAGACGUGGAAGGCAGGGCCUCCCCUCCCUUCCGUGCACCUUCUUGCCCCCACCCCUGUGGUCUCUGUAUCUGCACUAAGAUGAAUGUGCUCUGGCCUCUCCCACCUCACACAGAGCAAGGAGAAAAGGCAACAGCCUCAAAUCUGCCCAAUAUUCCACGGAAGCUGGUCUUUCUUCUACAUGGACAGUGAUUCCCUUUGAAAAGGCAGCAACAUUGAACUGCCCCAGCUUCCUGGCUAUGCCCACCGAUGAAGGUGACAAUCACGAUGCAGAAAUGGACAGUGGGGAGCGUUGGAUGGAAUAAUUACAAUAGUGAACAAAGAACAGCGGUGAAGACAUUUUACCCAAACAUCUUACUUGCUGUUGGAAGUCUGGCUUGACCCAAUGUGAGGCCCUCUUCUCCAUUCCAGAUCCAGGACAUCAUUCCCUGAAGGAGCCACCAGGGGCCUGUGGGAUAGAGGCCAUUGCCGGGGAUGCCCUGAUAGAGGUAAGUGAAGCCCCAGAAGAUCAGCUUUGUCCAGGGGGCCAGGGGUCCUCAGGAUUAUAACAGCAGUGGACCCAGGAUGCUUACCGUCUCGGAUCAGGGACCAUGGAAAACAAUGGAGUAGGACUCCAGGGACCAACAGAGAGAAACAUUCUACUGGGAAACAUGAGCGGCAGUCCUGGGCCUUUCACAUGUCAUUUUUUUUUUCCACGGAUGAGUCACAUAUGUUAUUGAAGCAUCAGUUUUCUCAUCUUCAAAAUGGAGUCCGUACUUACCUUUUUGUCUCUCUUACCCUCCACAACACCACAGACUCCAACAGGCAGGGACUAUAUUUUAUUUUCAGCGUCCCAAUUACAUCCAGCUCAUGGUAUAUUACCUGGCACCUUGUAGCCACGAUAACUACUUGUUGAAAACUAAAGUGAGUGUAGGAGUUCCUGUCAUGGCUCAGUGGUUAAUGAACCUUACUAGUAUCUAUGAGGAGGUGGGCUCGAUCUCUGACCUUGUUCAGUGGGUUAAGGAUCUGGUGUUGCUGUGAGCUGUGGGGUAGGUCGUAAAUGCAACUCAGAUCCCCCGUUGUUGUGGCUGUGGUGUAGGCUGGCAUGUAGCUGUUUCGACCCCUAGCCUGGAAACCUCUAUAUGAUGUGGGUGCAGCCCCAGAAAGACCAAAAAAAAUUAAAGUGAGUGUAACAUAAGAAAGCAUAGAUAUAAAUGUUUGUAAACUUCAGGUAUAACAACAAUGUUCUCACCACCUCCAAGAUUAGCAUCCGUUUCUAUGCUUAGCAGGUAUACAGUUUGUGUUGGCUGAUAGCCUCCACAUCCUCUGUGCAAUGUAGAGCAUAUAGUGAGGUUGUUAUCAUCAAAAAUACGGAAUAUUUUCAAGCAGGAGAGCACCUGUCCUGUGUCAGACCGUACCUAUAAAUCUCCAGGUUGUCUAAGGUCUGAUGGCAGGUAGGUAACAUGCAGGUCUCUACCUGCUCCCUCUGUACUCAGAGAACAUAUUGCUUAAGACGCUUUCCUGCUGAGCCUGAACGUGGCUUCCACAUUCUUCUCUCCUGCUGUAAAAAUAGGGCUGUCCUUAUCCUUCAACCCAAACAAAUAUCUCAAAGAAUUAUGAUUUGGUUUUGCUGCUAGGAAAAAAGAGAAAUAGCAAAGAGGGAAUGAAUCAAUCCAUCCAAGGGAGAUUACUGUUAAAUUGAUUAGAAACAAGCCCCACCCCCACCCCUGCAUAGAAAGGCCACACCCAGAACACCGGAUUCAACUGCUCUGUCUCGGUGAUGGGCUGCAUUUUUUUUUUUAAUAAUAUUUUAAAGCACUUUACAAACAUUUCUAAAUUGAUAUAAUGCCUUGGAACCAGUUUAGAACACAGCAACAAGAGUGAUUAAAAGGCCAGAAGAACUGAUUUAUAAUGAAAGAUAAAGAAUGGAAUAUGACCUGAAGUUUCCAUCUUGGCUCAAUGGUUAAUGAACCCGAUUAGUAUCCAUGAGGACGCCGGUUUGAUCCUUGGCCUUGGUCAGUGGGUUAAGGAUCUGGCAUUGCCAUGAGCUGUGGUGUAAGUCACAGAUGCCUCUUGGAUCCCACGUUGCUGUGGCUGUGGUGUAGGCCGGUGGCUGUAGCUCUGAUUUGACCCCUAGCCUGGAAACCUCUGUAUGCUGUGGGUGUGGCCCUAAAAAGCAAGAAAAAAAAAAAAAAA
rnacentral:lncRNA from 1 species